rnacentral:rRNA from 1 species
GAUGAACGCUGGCGGCGUGCCUAAUACAUGCAAGUCGAGCGAACAGACGAGAAGCUUGCUUCUCUGACGUUAGCGGCGGACGGGUGAGUAACACGUGGAUAACCUACCUAUAAGACUGGGAUAACUUCGGGAAACCGGAGCUAAUACCGGAUGAUAUAUUGAACCGCAUGGUUCAAUAGUGAAAGACGGUUUUGCUGUCACUUAUAGAUGGAUCCGCGCGGCAUUAGCUAGUUGGUAAGGUAACGGCUUACCAAGGCAACGAUGCGUAGCCGACCUGAGAGGGUGAUCGGCCACACUGGAACUGAGACACGGUCCAGACUCCUACGGGAGGCAGCAGUAGGGAAUCUUCCGCAAUGGGCGAAAGCCUGACGGAGCAACGCCGCGUGAGUGAUGAAGGUCUUCGGAUCGUAAAACUCUGUUAUUAGGGAAGAACAAAUGUGUAAGUAACUAUGCACGUCUUGACGGUACCUAAUCAGAAAGCCACGGCUAACUACGUG